UACGUAGGGGCCAAGCGUUGUCCGGAUUUAUUGGGCGUAAAGAGCUCGUAGGCGGUUCGGCAAGUCAGCUGUGAAAUCUCCACGCUCAACGUGGAGGGGUCAGCUGAUACUGCUGUGACUCGAGUCCGGUAGGGGAGUGGUGGAAUUCCCGGUGUAGCGGUGAAAUUCGUAGAUAUCGGGAGGAACACCGGUGGCGAAGGCGGCGAUCUGGGUCGAUACUGACGCUGAGGUGCGAAAGCGUGGGGAGCAAACAGG
rnacentral:rRNA from 1 species